ACCGCACUACCAACCUCUCGACAUCAACUUGACCCUUCGCUUCUCUAUUCCGUCCCACCCUCCCUCGCUUUUUACAAACCUUCUUACUUAGCGAUACACCUUAAUUCGAGCUUCUUUCACAAAAGUCCAUAUCAAGUCGUUCGUCUCCCUUUUCACUUCUAUAACCCCAGUCUUUACUCUCUCGUGUAAUUUUUUUUCUCCUACUCUUACUCUUCUACUUUUACUACUACUCUUCUUUUUUCUCUAUUUUCCUACACUUCCCUCUCUCUCUCUCUCUCUCUCUCUCUCUCUCAUCCUCUUCAUAUCUAUCUUUCAUUAAAUUUCCUACAUCUUACUUCUUCUUCUCUCUCUUUUCCCUCCUUUUUCUCUUCCCCCCCCCCCUCAACUACCAUCCAUCGCCAUCAAGUUCGUAUUUGUCGCAAUCCAGUCAUGCACUUGUCGACUAAUCCCAUGGAAAUACGGUGUUGCAUACUUUGAAUAGAUCGCAUAGUGGUGAUCAAACGGAUUUUCUAGACAUUUCAACAGUAGAUGCACAUACGAAACUAAACUCAUAUAAUCAUAUCCCGUAAUUUGAGGCAACGUAUUGCUCCAGUUUUCCUCUUGCAAUAUAGAUUGGCCGGUGUAGGCGCAUGUCGCUACCAAUUGACUCGCCCUUAGACUUGAAAAUCUUUGUUCCACUAGCGAUACUUCAAGAAAAUAUUUUAUCAUUAUUCGCAGCUGCGACUCCCAUUUGUUGACAAUCGUCAAUAGCCUCAAAAACGAUACUGGCCCCGGCCACCCAAGUUGAUAUUGAAGAACCAUAAGCAUAUACUUUUCCAUUCCGCAAAUAUCUUCUCCUAUCCAUUCUCCCUCCAACACUAUUUCCAAAUCUUUCACUGUAGGAGGAUGGAUCUCUUCAUACUUGCAAGCAAUAAACAGCGCCGUUGCGCCGCAAAGUUUCAUUUUCGAUGCUGGCACAUUUUGUAGAGAUAGAAAUCUAUCCAAUACAUUGAUCGAUAGGAAUAAGGAUUCUGGAAGCAGGUUUAUACAUGUAUGCACCCCCACAAUCCAAUUGAUCACACUAGCCCUCAUCUCUGUAACAUAAUAUGGUUGAGCCGACAUAUGUCGGUAAUCAGGCAUAAAUCGAAUCUAAAAAAUGUUAAUAAAUAAAAACUUCUUCAACUCCUUCAUCUUCUUGUUUUCCUUCCCCCUUUUCUUCCCAUUUUUUUCAUACCUCCAAUUUCUCCAUGUGCGAUAGGAUUUCUUUUGCGUAUUCCACAGACACCGAUUCAUCUGCUGAAUAUCUCAUCUGUAAUUCCUCCUCUUCAUCCUCCUCUGCACAAUUGUCAUUUGAUUCUUCAAUCGCUAUGCCAAAUUCCGAAACACUGCAAUUAGGACUUUGAACGUUACUGAUCGAGCAAACAUCCAAAUCUACCAAAAGCUGUUUCUCCGUAAAGACUAUCUCUUCCUCUAAAGGUGACGCUAAAAAACUAUCAUAGUCCUUUUGUAUUUGCGACUCUUCAAUUGAACUAAUUCCAUGCCAGCUCUGUGACGGAAAAUGUUUAUCUGAUGGGCUACACCCAUUUUGAAGGGAUAUUUCUCGUACCUGUGCGUUCACCCAGCCUUUUACGUUCAAUGAUUUGGAA
rnacentral:lncRNA from 1 species